GCCUCGGUAGCUCAGCUGGUCAGAGCGGCUGACUUGUAAUCAGCAGGUCGCGAGUUCGAAUCUCGUCCGGGGCU
rnacentral:tRNA from 2 species